CACUUCUACGGUUUCUGGCUCAUAUCCCACUGUGCAGUCGAUGCGAAAGUCUUGCAUCAGGUUCAUUUUUUUUUCUUUUUCGAUUAAUCUACUCCUAUAUCUGCAGUGAAGUUAACGGAAUGCGUCGCGCUAUAUUGAUGAUCUUCGGCGCUUUAGCGCUGUUCGUGCUGUGUGAAGCCGGAAGUUUCAUUGGUGUUCCAUGCGAUGUGAGAGGCAAGAUUGUCAACCUGACAGAAAUAUUGGUCCCAUGUAACCAAACUUGCGACGGGCAGCCUUCAUUGCCUGACACAACGCCUUGCCACGUGAAGUGCCCAGGUUCUUACAAGAGUCCGUCGUUCAAUCUGCCAACUUGCCAACUCUACGGAACAUGUCAAAAUGGUGCAUGCAAAAAUAGAACUUCGUAAAAUUGAACCACACAGCGGCACCGCAUACGUAUGGUCCUCGAAUGCUUGAAUAAAAUGUGGAAUAUGAAA
rnacentral:lncRNA from 1 species